GUGAAGUCUGUCUGUCCAUGUACUUCACUGGAGAUGAAAAUAUGAAAAAGUGCAUGGAUAUUGUAUUAAAAGCAUCACCUACCAUCCUCCUUAACUGCCUGUAUUCGUGCUGAGGUCACAUGGCUUCCAUGAGGAUGUGAGCUUUCCUUCUCCAUGGCAAUAUCUUUGCAGUCAUGUCUCACAUUGACUUGAACAGAUAUUGCAGGAUUUGGGGGACUCUGGCUUUUCUUUAUUACCUAUCAAAAUUCCAUCCACCCACCAAGAUUUGUUUCCAUGGAGGCUACCCUGACCACUGGCCCUUAUCAAAGUUAUUAAGGCCCUACCAUGUCCCAAGCCCUUCACUAGAGAAGACACACGUAAGCAGGGGGCGGGGCUGUCAACAGCUCAGACUUCAUGCACUAUUAGAGGUAUGUCGAAGCAUCAGAGCAAGAGAGAAGCAACAGGAGACAGAACCUGAAGAAAUGGCAGGGAAAGAAGGGAAGAGAUAGAUGAGCUGGCACUCAGUGGCUAUGCAGUGUCAGGUAAAGGUACAGAAAGGAAGUCCCAAGGGCCACAUUGUAUAGACGCACAGAAAUAUGUAUUUAGUCAUUUUUAAAAAAAAUAGUUAUAAAACAUAUUGACUUCCUUGCCUAAAGCCUUUGCUGGAUCCCAUACUAACAGGAAGCAAUCUCCACUCCUUUGCUUGGCUUGUAUUGGUUUGAUGGACCUCUACAUCCAGUCCCACCUUCUGUGCAGGCACGAUGCUAUGCCCCCUGUCACCCAGGAUCUGCAGCGUCAGCCACAACAUCCUUCUAUUUGUGCCUGAAGGAAACCAGGCUUGUUUCCACCUCAAGACCUUCACACUUCCCGUUCUCUCUGCCUGGAACUCUCCUUACUUAGCCUCAUUCUUCCAUUUGGAGGGACAAGUUCGCAUAUUCACGUCUCUGACCAAAUGUCACAUGCCUCAAGGACUUAACCUGCCUUUGGCAUCUAAUCUUCCAACCAAGGUCCUGCCACACUCCAUCUUGGUAUUUCCUUUUGUCCCCACCCUUCCUUGCGCUCACUUGAAUCUCUCUUGUAUAUAUCUUUCUACAGCCAAUCUGCUCUACACCUUCCAAAUCAUCCAUUCAUAAUAUCCUCAACCUAGCCAACUAAUUUACAAACUGGAAAACAGUGCUAAUGCAUACCUGGCAUUUAAUAUUUGUGGAAAUAAGGGGGUGGGUGGGUGGAUGGUUACAUGGACGAUAGACAGAUGAGGAGACUGGUAGAAUAAAAGAAGAAUGAAAUGAAAGAAUGGUAGGCUCUUAUGAAGAACCAUAUCAUUGUGUGACUAAAGAGACCUUCAGGGAGCCAAUCACGUAAAAUGUCAUGAUCAUUUGGGCUUCAUCCUUUAGCUGACAAGGACACUAGAGAAAUUGUCACCAGUUAAAGUAGCCUGUGGUUCUUUCUCUUCGAUAGGCUUCUGACAAUUGCUUAGGCCUGAACUUUGUCUCACCAUCCGAAUUACCAGCCGUGUAACGUUAACCACAUUUUUGCAGAGAAUUCAACAUACCCUUUCAGCAUCCAUUAUUUUACUGGAGUUACAUGGUAAGUUUCCUCUCUCACCCUUUAUCGCUGAAUUGAAAUUAUAGAAGGUUCUGAAUAGAUAUCAAUUGACUGACUGAUGUCUGAGGCAAUCCCUUUCAUGAAUAAAAAGAAGAAACGGUUGUGGUUUGAGUCUGAAAUUCUCCACAGGCCAUUUUGGAUGUUUUUUCCCCCAUCUAUUGGUGCAAUACGGGGAGGGGAGGGGCUAGCCACUGCAGUUGGUCCUCUGGAUGUUAUACUCAGCCCCUGGUUUCUAUUGUGCUUUGUGCUUCCGGGUCUGACAUCAUAUAAACAGCCUCCCCCUGCCCCUGGAGAAGGAGGUGCCCACUGAGCAGGAACAGCACCAGAGCUGUUGAGGCGAACCCUCCCCACCUUGAUGGACUCAACACUAAGGCAGAAUAAACUCUCUCCCACUUGUGAGUUGUUUCUGUUGGGCACUGUGCUCAGAGCAAAGCUAAAGUGACAAAUACAGAAACAAACGCUAGUGAUAUCCGAAUGCUUGUUGCCCAGGCCCUGGACCCUCCCAUGGAAAAACGAAAACACUGAAGGAGAAAGCAGCCUGCUCAGGCCACACAGCUAGGACCAAAAUUUAGACCUGAGACUUUAUUUAGACCUCUCGCUUUGUUUCUGCUGACCCUCAUGGCUUGCCUAUCUACAUCCACACCUCUUACACCCUGGGACACAGGCCCAGUGGUCACAGCUGAGGCAAGAGCUCAUUCAUUAAUGUCAUAAACUCCUUCUCUUGACCCAGAAAUGCCCAUCAGCACCUCUGGUUGGACUGGUAGAAAACUCAGUUUUUCCAGGUCAUAUGACUCUGGGUCUAGGUUUCUAGGAGAAAAAGCAGAGUAACUGUGUGCUGAUAGUCUUUCUCUCACCCAUUUGAACUUGGCACCACCUCAAAACCUAGUACAUACACUUCCAGUGUUGUUCCUUCAUGUCCAUAUUCAGCAGGAGUUUGGGGUGUCCUCUGGGUCUGGCUCAUCUUAUUAUUGCCUUAAACUGACUCUACAAUUGCAUUGAAUGCACAGCACCUACAAGGCAGCCAGCCCAGCACCUUAUCCCCUGUGCUGUGUGUGGACCAGUCUCUUAUGGUCAAACAGGACUAUUACUUGGUCCUUAUGCCUUGAUUGGGCCAUACACAAGAUGGAGCGAUCUCUUUGUCUUGCCACCACAAGGGAGUCCCAGGGACUAAUUACUGUAGGCAAAUCACUUUAAUUAUCAUAAUUAUCAACUGUACUUUAUGAUCCCCAGUCAGAAAGAUGAUCAUUAAGUUUUGCAAUACCCCGUAUCCCCCAGCCCAAGGCAGAAAGUUAAUUCUGUGCGUGCCUUUUGAGAUUUCCCAAGCCCAAGCAAAGACCUGUGGUGUACGCAUGCUGCAUCGGAGGAGAUGAGAUUGGAAUGGCAAGAGGAGCACCCAUGGGAGGCAUAACGAUCUUUUGGAUGGUUUCCCCAAGACCAAAGCGAUACUGUCACCUUCUUGAAAAUGUGUUAUCUGACUUGGGUUACCUGGCUGCUGGCUUGUUUAUCUUUUAAACAG
rnacentral:lncRNA from 1 species